rnacentral:lncRNA from 10 species
CAGACAUUGAAUUAUUACCUAUUACUUAAUUUAACUUAGCAUAACAUUAGGAUUACAGUUACCAAAAAGAUUUUUCAACUACUUAUAAACAUAAUGAUAUGUGAAAAGUUUAUUUAUAAACAUUUAUCCCAGUUAUAUUCUAUUUAAUACCCUUGUUCUUAACAAUUAUGAUUGAAUUCUUCAUCAAAAUUCCAUUAGACACUAGUCAAAGCUAACUGUUAUCUUGUUUUUCUAGUAGACAAGUCAAGCAAGUAUCACAAAUAUCACAGAAGCAAAGGAAGUUAAACAUGGUUUUCCCCCUCCCUCCCUUUUUUUAAACUUCUAUUCAUCAGUCAAUUCAUUUUUAUUGCAUAUUUGCUCUUAGGUUGUAAUUAUAGUUUUGUAACCUUAAACAUCUGGUAGAGAUAGCGUAGGCAUGUUUGACUAGUAAACCUGGGUAGAAAAAAAUGUAUAUUUGCAUUGUAUUUAAUGACAAUUAUUAACACAUUCUUGUUUUUAUUUUACCAGUAAUAUUUAAACUAGUUUUAUCUAUCAAAGUUUAUUUCAUAUUAGGUCAAGUUAAAAAAAAAAACAAAAAACUUGGGUUAGUCUCUAUAUGUCUGAAAGUUUUAGGAAUACUUAAUUUACAUAAGCACUCAUUUAUCUCUAAGCAAAUUCUAGUAGAACUUAUUUAUGUGAUUCUAUAAAUUAAUAAUACCAUCAAGUGGUAGAGAAGAUCACACACAGAAAUAACCUACAAACAUAAAUACAAAAACAUAUACAAAUAUACAGACAGAUACAAAUAUCAUAGCUUCCAUUUUAAAAUUUUAGUCGUGAGUCAGUAAAACAUGGAAAUAUGAGCUCACUGGCUAAUCUCAACUUACAUUUUUAUCAAAUUUCAUUUCUGACAAAAAUGGGACAACUUAAGAUUACCUGCUUACAUGGAAAAAACAUUUUAUUAUUUCUGGAAAAGACUUUUAAACUUUUUCAUUUGCCCAAUUUCCA